GAGAAGUCCAUACUAAUUAGGUUUAAUCGCCUUCUUCUCUACCACAUUCUACGCCUCUCUCUCUCUCUCUCUUUUUUUUGGCUCUCUGCAACUUAAGAACACCGACUUGAAUACUGUAACGUCUUCAGCCCCAGGAAUGUGAAGAAAGGCGGUGAGCCUUGACAUGCCACUGAUUGAUGAGAAUUCAACACUUGUGCAAGGAUCCUUGAGUGCAAACCGUCUUCUCAGAUUCAGACAGCGUUUCAGCUAAGGCUCUGUGUACACGUUAAGCUGUUUUGACGUAACGCGCAGUAACAACAAUUUCCGGUUGACUGAUGCCCUCCUCUUCAUACGGUUCAAUGAUGGAACCUCUUUUGAAAAUCUCACAGAUUCCAAUAAAGUCAUACCCACUGAACUUUUUCGGUUCCGACGUGCACUGGCAAACACCAACAAACAAUUUCCUGACAUUAUUGGUGAGCUAAGUGCAAUAAGGAGCACCAUCAACGACAAUCUUCCUGGUGCAAAACGCAUAAUGCUUACUUUGCGUCUUGAUAGUGCUGUUAAAGUCUGGGUUAGUAUGUUUGACUCUUUGGCUAUUGCAUUCCACGACAAAUUUUAGAGCUAUGGGUCAGAGCCAAAAAUUGUGCUUGUCACGAGCAUAAAUCAUGAGCAUAUGUUUUCUCAGGCCGGCAAUAUUACUGUUUUCUCAGAAGCAGUAAAAAAAGUGUUUGACA